UUGGUUAAGUUAGAAAGGGCGCACGGUGGAUGCCUUGGCACUAGGAGCCGAAGAAGGACGGGACUAACACCGAUAUGCUUUGGGGAGCUGUACGUAAGCGUUGAUCCAGAGAUUUCCGAAUGGGGGAACCCACUAUCUUUAGUCGGAUAGUAUCCUUACGUGAAUACAUAGCGUGAGGAAGGCAGACCCAGGGAACUGAAACAUCUAAGUACCUGGAGGAAGAGAAAGAAAAAUCGAUUUCCUGAGUAGCGGCGAGCGAAACGGAAAGAGCCCAAACCAAGAAGCUUGCUUCUUGGGGUUGUAGGACACUCUAUACGGAGUUACAAAAGAAAGUUAUAAAUGAAGCGGUCUGGAAAGGCCCGCCAAAGACGGUAACAGCCCGGUAGUUGAAAUGGCUUUCCCUCCAGAGUGGAUCCUGAGUACGGCGGAACACGUGAAAUUCCGUCGGAAUCCGGGAGGACCAUCUCCCAAGGCUAAAUACUCCCUAGUGACCGAUAGUGAACCAGUACCGUGAGGGAAAGGUGAAAAGCACCCCGGAAGGGGAGUGAAACAGUUCCUGAAACCGUGUGCCUACAAGUAGUUAGAGCCCGUUAAUGGGUGAUAGCGUGCCUUUUGUAGAAUGAACCGGCGAGUUACGAUUUGUUGCAAGGUUAAGCGGAAAAAGCGGAGCCGUAGCGAAAGCGAGUCUGAAUAGGGCGCAUAAGUAACAGGUCGUAGACCCGAAACCAGGUGAUCUACCCAUGUCCAGGAUGAAGGUAAGGUAAUACUUACUGGAGGUCCGAACCCACGCACGUUGAAAAGUGCGGGGAUGAGGUGUGGGUAGCGGAGAAAUUCCAAUCGAACUUGGAGAUAGCUGGUUCUCUCCGAAAUAGCUUUAGGGCUAGCCUCGAGGUAAAGAGUCAUGGAGGUAGAGCACUGUUUGGACUAGGGGCCCUUCUCGGGUUACCGAAUUCAGAUAAACUCCGAAUGCCAUGUACUUAUACUCGGGAGUCAGACUGCGAGUGAUAAGAUCCGUAGUCGAAAGGGAAACAGCCCAGACCACCAGUUAAGGUCCCCAAAUAUAUGUUAAGUGGAAAAGGAUGUGGGGUUGCUUAGACAACCAGGAUGUUGGCUUAGAAGCAGCCACCAUUGAAAGAGUGCGUAAUAGCUCACUGGUCGAGUGACCCCGCGCCGAAAAUGUACCGGGGCUAAACAUA
rnacentral:rRNA from 1 species